rnacentral:rRNA from 1 species
UACGAAGGGGGCUAGCGUUGUUCGGAAUUACUGGGCGUAAAGCGCACGUAGGCGGAUACUUAAGUCAGGGGUGAAAUCCCGGGGCUCAACCCCGGAACUGCCUUUGAUACUGAAGAUCUUGAGUUCGGGAGAGGUGAGUGGAACUGCGAGUGUAGAGGUGAAAUUCGUAGAUAUUCGCAAGAACACCAGUGGCGAAGGCGGCUCACUGGCCCGAUACUGACGCUGAGGCACGAAAGCGUGGGGAGCAAACAGG